rnacentral:rRNA from 1 species
GACGAACGCUGGCGGCGUGCUUAACACAUGCAAGUCGAACGGAAAGGCCCUGCUUUUGUGGGGUGCUCGAGUGGCGAACGGGUGAGUAACACGUGAGUAACCUGCCCUUGACUUUGGGAUAACUUCAGGAAACUGGGGCUAAUACCGGAUAGGAGCUCCUGCUGCAUGGUGGGGGUUGGAAAGUUUCGGCGGUUGGGGAUGGACUCGCGGCUUAUCAGCUUGUUGGUGGGGUAGUGGCUUACCAAGGCUUUGACGGGUAGCCGGCCUGAGAGGGUGACCGGCAACAUUGGGACUGAGAUACGGCCCAGACUCCUACGGGAGGCAGCAGUGGGGAAUAUUGCACAAUGGGCGGAAGCCUGAUGCAGCAACGCCGCGUGCGGGAUGACGGCCUUCGGGUUGUAAACCGCUUUAGCCUGUGACGAAGCGUGAGUGACGGUAAUGGGUAAAGAAGCACCGGCUAACUACGUG